rnacentral:lncRNA from 1 species
UAGUUUGCAAUACUUUCUUUCAGAAACUGAGCACUGGGUUAAAAGGGCAAGUCUCUCAUCUUCAUUUUUUCAUGAAUACAGAAGAAUAUCAAGCAAGCUGCAAAAAUCCAACAGGAAGCAUUCUGAAAAAUGAAAAUGCAAAAACUAUCUCUUUGUCAACCCAACUUGCUAUGAGUUAAUAAAAUCAGCUGAGUUUCACUGCAUCAUAAACAAUGUGUCAUAUGCAUACAUUGAAAAUAACUGAGAAAGAUCACCUACUUCAUCGUUCAACCCCUGAGGCAACUAGAAAUUGUAGAUAUUAAAGAAAAAACGGUGAGAGUGUGAAAAUAAUCAGAUAUCCAUCCACAGGAAUGUAAUUUUUCAUAACAGUCAUGACAAAUAAGUCCUGCAUGGAACUCUGAAGGAAUUCUGUGAAAUAUUUAUGUGGG